GACGAACGCUGGCGGCGUGCUUAACACAUGCAAGUCGAACGGAAAGGCCCUGCUUUUGUGGGGUGCUCGAGUGGCGAACGGGUGAGUAACACGUGAGUAACCUGCCCUUGACUUUGGGAUAACUUCAGGAAACUGGGGCUAAUACCGGAUAGGAGCUCCUGCUGCAUGGUGGGGUUGGAAAGUUUCGGCGGUUGGGGCUGGACUCGCGGCUUAUCAGCUUGUUGGUGGGGUAGUGGCUUACCAAGGCUUUGACGGGUAGCCGGCCUGAGAGGGUGACCGGCCACAUUGGGAGUGAGAGACGGCCCAGACUCCUACGGGAGGCAGCAGUGGGGAAUAUUGCACAAUGGGCGGAAGCCUGAUGCAUCAACGCCGCGUGCGGGAUAACGGCCUUCGGGUUGUAAACCGCUUUCGCCUGUGACGAAGCGUGAGUGACGGUAAUGGGUAAAGAAGCACCGGCUAACUACGUGCCAGCAGCCGCCGCAG
rnacentral:rRNA from 1 species